AGCCGUAAACUAAUGCUCGCUAGGUGUCAGGCAUGGCGCGACCGUGUCUGGUGCCGCAGGGAAGCCGUGAAGCGAGCCACCUGGGAAGUACGGCCGCAAGGCUGAAACUUAAAGGAAUUGGCGGGGGAGCACAACAACGGGUGGAGCCUGCGGUUUAAUUGGACUCAACGCCGGGAAGCUCACCGGAUAAGACAGCGGAAUGAUUGCCGGGCUGAAGACUCUGCAUGACUAGCUGAGAGGUGGUGCAUGGCGUAGACGUCU
rnacentral:rRNA from 1 species